GAGUUUGAUCUUGGCUCAGAACGAACGCUGGCGGCAUGCCUAACACAUGCAAGUCGAACGGGAUCCUGGUUUCGGCCAGGUGAGAGUGGCGGACGGGUGAGUAACGCGUGGGAACCUGCCCAGUGGUGGGGGAUAACUGCGGGAAACUGCAGCUAAUACCGCAUGAGCCCGAAAGGGGAAAGAUUCAUCGCCAUUGGAGGGGCCCGCGUUCGAUUAGGUAGUUGGUGGGGUAAUGGCCUACCAAGCCUGCGAUCGAUAGCUGGUCCGAGAGGAUGAUCAGCCACACUGGGACUGAGAUACGGCCCAGACUCCUACGGGAGGCAGCAGUGGGGAAUAUUGGACAAUGGGGGCAACCCUGAUCCAGCAAUGCCGCGUGAGUGAUG
rnacentral:rRNA from 1 species